ensembl:lncRNA
CCUGCUCUCUGCCUCCGUAUCACAUCAAAGAGUCUUCACGCUGAGCUCCCUCUCAGAAAAAUGAAAGCCGAAAGCUGAAAGCCUGUGAGUCGCCAGGGUGACGGCACGCCGAGUCCUCUCCAGACGCCGUUGUCAAGGACACCAUCACGAUGCAGAGUGACCCAGAGUGUGCCUGGCCUCUGUAGCGGAGGAAAGACGAGACGAGAGCACUGGUGUGUGUUAGGGGAGGCCUGCAAGGGCUUAGAGGGAGAGGAAGAUCAUCAGGAUGCACAGAGAAAGUGUAGAAUAUGCUGUAAUCUGUGUAUGUUUAUGGAGGAAGAGUGUAGAAUAUGCUCUAAUCUGUGUAUUUUUAUGGAGGAAAAGUGUAAAAUAUGCUCUAAUCUGUGUAUGUUUAUGGAGGAAGAGUGUAGAAUAUGCUGUAAUCUGUGUAUGUUUAUGGAGGAAGAGUCUAGAAUAUGAUGUAAUCUGGGUAUGUUUAUGGAGGAAGAGUGUAGAAUAUGCUCUAAUCUGUGUAUGUUUAUGGAGGAAGAGUGUAGAAUAUGCUGUAAUCUGUGUAUGUUUAUGGAGGAAGAGUCUAGAAUAUGCUGUAAUCUGUGUAUGUUUAUGGAGGAAGAGUGUAGAAUAUGCUCUAAUCUGUGUAUUUUUAUGGAGGAAAAGUGUAAAAUAUGCUCUAAUCUGUGUAUUUUUAUGGAGGGAAAGUGUAAAAUAUGCUCUAAUCUUUGUAUUUUUAUGGAGGAAAAGACACAAUGAAGAUUAAAGUUUAAAUAGGAUGCAGAGACAUUGAGGUUGUGGAUCUGAUAUGGUCAUUUAUAUCAAAGUGUAUUCUGGUCCUCUGGCACCGGCUGCAGCAGAUACUGUGUAGAUUUGACAAGAAAGUCACAUUGGGAGAAAGCCAAGAACGUCAAGAUGGAAAGAGAAAAUGAAGAAUAGUGCAAUUGAAGAGACUCCAGAUGAUAUAUGCCUGCCAUUCACAACGGGUAUUGGCAAAGCCCAGAUUGUAUUCAGAGACAAAUCACAUUGUGACAAAUGGGAUUCAGUGACAAAUGACAAACAUUUCUGGCUAGCCGAAACAUGAGAAUUUGGACGCUGUUUUAAAGCUUUUCCUUUCUGUACCUGGUUAAGAUUCAUAGAGGGCCAAAUAUCUCUCAAUUUGCUGCACUGAAAUGAAAUGAGGAUUCACACUCCUUCACACUCACGUCUCUUGAAGAUAAACGGGUUUGCCUUUCUGUUAUUUCUUCGCCCUGUAAAUCCAUCUCCCCCAGACACUCACACAUCUUCUGCUUUUCUGUGCGGCCCAAACCCUUUAAAGAACCCCAACAUCUCCAGCACACGACUUUGAUCCUCGCUGUCAGUGCAUCUUCUCCACCACCCAUUAGAACAGCUCCACUCCACAGGUCCUCAGCUGUUUCCCAGUGCCUCACCCAUUAGAACAGCUCCACUCCACAGGUCCUCAGCUGUUUCCCAGUGCCUCAUGACCUUGCUGACGUGCACAUCAAACUGCUCAACAGGGCGUGAAUGCUGGGGAACACUUCCUGAAUACAAACAGGAACAGGAACAGGAACAUGGCAUGUUUUUUUGUGUUCAUUGAGCUGCUGGUAAUUACCUUUCGAUGCGCAAU